rnacentral:lncRNA from 1 species
AUGGUACAGCAGGUCUGCUCAAUUGUUUACUGGCUUGGAAUGUCAAAGGACAUCCAGUUGGCCAGGAAGUGCUGCGCAGAUUGUAACCUCAAUGCCCCUUCACAGGUAGCCACGCCCCCUAUGCCGGCAUCACCACCAUCCACACCAUUUGAGGAGGUGUUCGCGGAUUUCUUUGACUACAUGGGUCACCACUACCUGGUCAUUGGGGAUCGUCUCUGUUGCUGGGUGGAAGUAAUGAGCUCUCCCGUGAGCACUAACCUCGGGGGCUCCAAUGGGCUAAUCCAUCACUUAAGGGCUUUCGUCGCCACAUUUGUUGUACCAGAGGAGCUUUUGAGUGAUGGGGGCCCGGAGUUCUCUGCAGGGUGCACAGCAGACUCCCUCUGCUUGUGGCAGGUCAAGUACUGUGUGUCUUUGCUUGGGUUCCCCCUGUCUAAUGGUAGGGCGGAGGUGGCUGUCAAGACAGCAAAGUGUCUCCUAGUCUCAAACACCAACCGCACCUGGAGUCUUGACCAUGACCGCUCCUUCGUGCAAUGGUGCAACUGCGUAACACACCUGACCAUGACUGCGACCUAUCUCUCUCGCAAAUUAUCUUUGGCCACCCCCUCAGGGACUCGCUGUUGUUUUUUCAAUAGGCUGGAGAAGUUCUCCAAACCUCACAUUCGGCCGCUCUGGCGUCAGGCAUGGGCAGUGAAGGAAGAGGCCCUCUGUACUCGGAUGGCUGGCACUACUGAGUCCUGGAGGGAGCACGUGCGACUGCUCCGCUCACUUGUAGUUAGGGAGGUGGUGUUUCCCCAGAACCAAGUGGGCUAUACCCCACGGGCAUGGGACAGAUCUGGAGUAGUAGUGGAGUCACUGGGACACGAUCAUUACCAUGUCAUGGUCGAUGGGUCGGGCUGCCUCACCCUGCGCAACCGGCAAUUUCUCUGUGCCUUCACCCCGGCCACCCCUGGCACUAACCCAGAGGGCACUGCGUCCCUGCCUAUGUCUGACAACAAGACACAUGAGCUAGGUCCUGCCGACCCAGGGUUGACGAAACCCCUGCCAGGUCCGUCACAUAUGACUCCUGAGUCCCCAGGCACGGACCCUGGCGCCGUCCCGCCAGUACCUCGUCGCAACUCCACGUCAACCAACGAGCCCCUAGAUGUAGCCCACAGGGAUGCUGCCCCAGCGGCGCGGAUUCCGGAACGUUGCCUGUCACCUCCCUCACCCCGGCCAGCGAGCUUUGGUUGGGUGAGGCGGCCAGCCAUGCGGUAUGUACCUGAAACUGGCCUGUGGGUUAGGUCAUGA